CCGGCACGGGUGAGUAACACGUAUCCAACCUGCCGUCUACUCUUGGAUAGCCUUCUGAAAGGAAGAUUAAUACAAGAUGGCAUCAUGAGUCCGCAUGUUCACAUGAUUAAAGGUAUUCCGGUAGACGAUGGGGAUGCGUUCCAUUAGAUAGUAGGCGGGGUAACGGCCCACCUAGUCUUCGAUGGAUAGGGGUUCUGAGAGGAAGGUCCCCCACAUUGGAACUGAGACACGGUCCAA
rnacentral:rRNA from 1 species